rnacentral:tmRNA from 1 species
GGGGCUGAUCGGUUUCGACGGGGAUUGUCGAUUCAGGAGAAGCGGGCCGAGGAGACGUGGUUAUCUCGUAAACACCCCACGUGACCAAUAAGUGCGAAAUCUGACCGCACUGGCUUCGCCCUCGCCGCCUGAGGCGAGUGGCCUGCCCGUCAACCCAAGAGCGGCUACGGCUUGGGAUUUGGCGUCGUGAAGUAGCCCACUGCUCGUCCACUUUGUUGCCGGGAUGGACGGGGACUCGUAGGCAACUGGGCCUGGCGGCGCGCCGCCAAUAGCAGCGCCGGGGCCGAGUAGACCGUAAAUUGGCUGCGCCCGGAGAAGACCUGUUCAGCGGUUUCCGGACGGGGGUUCAAUUCCCCCCAGCUCCACGG